rnacentral:rRNA from 1 species
UACGGGGGGGGCAAGCGUUGUUCGGAAUUACUGGGCGUAAAGGGCUCGUAGGUGGCCAACUAAGUCAGACGUGAAAUCCCUCAGCUUAACUGGGGAACUGCGUCUGAUACUGGAUGGCUUGAGUUUGGGAGAGGGAUGCGGAAUUCCAGGUGUAGCGGUGAAAUGCGUAGAUAUCGGGAGGAACACCUGUGGCGAAAGCGGCGCACUGGACCACAACUGACGCUGAGGCGCGAAAGCUAGGGGAGCAAACAGG